CCCGUCUGCAGUGGCGAUUUGUUACCGGAUUGCGGGCCACUUUAAACAUGCCGCUAAAGAGGAACGGGCGCAGCCCCG
rnacentral:ncRNA from 1 species